CCUAUCAUGCAAGUCGAGCGCGGGAAAGCGAGUGGAUCCCUUCGGGGUGAAGCUCGUGGAACGAGCGGCGGACGGGUGAGUAACACGUGGGCAACCUGCCUGUAAGACCGGAAUAACCCCGGGAAACCGGGGCUAAUGCCGGGUAAUACUUUUCUUCGCAUGAAGGAAAGUUGAAAGAUGGCUUCUUGCUAUCACUUACAGAUGGGCCCGCGGCGCAUUAGCUAGUUGGUGAGGUAACGGCUCACCAAGGCGACGAUGCGUAGCCGACCUGAGAGGGUGAUCGGCCACACUGGGACUGAGACACGGCCCAGACUCCUACGGGAGGCAGCAGUAGGGAAUCUUCCGCAAUGGACGAAAGUCUGACGGAGCAACGCCGCGUGAACGAUGAAGGUCUUCGGAUCGUAAAGUUCUGUUGUUAGGGAAGAACAAGUACCGUGCGAAUAGAGCGGUACCUUGACGGUACCUAACGAGGAAGCCCCGGCUAACUACGUGCCAGCAGCCGCGGUAAUACGUAGGGGGCAAGCGUUGUCCGGAAUUAUUGGGCGUAAAGCGCGCGCAGGCGGUUCCUUAAGUCUGAUGUGAAAGCCCACGGCUCAACCGUGGAGGGUCAUUGGAAACUGGGGAACUUGAGGACAGAAGAGGAGAGUGGAAUUCCACGUGUAGCGGUGAAAUGCGUAGAUAUGUGGAGGAACACCAGUGGCGAAGGCGACUCUCUGGUCUGUUUCUGACGCUGAGGUGCGAAAGCGUGGGUAGCAAACAGGGAUUAGAUACCCUGGUAGUCCACGCCGUAAACGAUGAGUGCUAGGUGUUAGGGGGCUUCCACCCCUUAGUGCUGAAGUUNA
rnacentral:rRNA from 1 species